UGGCCUCCGCCCUCUUUUCCUCACUUAUUCGGAAGCUCGGGUGGGUACGGGAGCCCGGCGCUGUUUCUAGGUAGCUUUGGGAAACCCGAAGGCUAGCUACGAAUUGAUAGUGCAUUCAGUAUCAAUUCGUAGGAAGUGGAGCCCUAACCCUUAAGCAGUCCCAGAGCAAGUGUCAUCGGAUGGUGUGCAGCCAGCUCCCGGAGCUAAGAAAAUGUCACUGGUGGCUUCCCUGGUGGUGCAGUGGUUAAGAAUCUGUCUGCCAAUGCAGGGAACACGGGUUGGAGCCCUGGUCUGGGAAGACCCCACAUCCCGCGGAGCAGCUCAGUGCACCAAAACUACCCAGCCUGCGCUCUAGAGCCCACAAGGCACAACUACUGAUCCUGCGUGCCACAAGUACUGGAGCCCGCAUGCCUACAGCCCGUGCUCUGCAACAAGAGAAGCCACCGCAAUAAGCCCGCGCACCUCAAUGAAGAGUAGCCCCCGCUCCACGCAACUAGAUAAAGCCCACACGCAGCAACAGAGACCUAACACAGCCAAAAAUUAAAAAAAAAAAAAGAAAUAUCUCUGGAAUUUCUUCCUCUCUAGCCUAUAUAUGUGUAUAUAUAUAUAUAGUAUAUCUUUAGGGGUUACAAUGGAUUCUAAUCCAUUCAACAUUCUGCCACUUCUCUAAUCUUACUAAACUACCCUCUCAGGCACUUUCUAAAUUUCCCAAAUCCUUAGUAAACCUAUCUGACUCAUCCCUACCUAAUCAAUAUAGUCUCCCAAGACCUUAACUUCCUAUCAUUUAAAAAAAAACAAUGCCAAUAAUAAAAACUCAUAACAAUUCAAAUAUUAAAGUUGAAGUGAACCUUCUUUUUUCCUUUUCACCCCUCCAGUCUUACUUCUCUUGAGUCAUCAGUGUCACUAAUUUGUUGUAUAUCUUUCCCUACUUUUUCAAACAUGCAUAAACACAUAUCCACAGUUUAUUUCUUUGGUUGUUUUCAUUUGGUUUUUAGCAAAAAUAAAAUCAUGGUUUACAAUUU